AUUUUAGAGAGAGAAGCUCUGCCUUCUCUCUAACUUUUCCUGCUUCAUCUUCUUCUUCUCUGCUACCUCUGCGCAUGUAGGUUAACCUGCGCUGUGGGUGCUAUGGCGAGAGGGAGAGGCCGACCUAAGAAAGUUCUGGUGCCAAUUUAUGCAAACGUCAUUGUUUUCCCAAAAUCUGUUAAUACUGUGCCACAGGUGGUUAACACUGUUCCAUUGAAGCCCACAGAAGAUACUGUUUCAUUGCCUCAAGCAUCUGUAGAUUUGCAACCAUCUGGAGUUCCCGUGCUACUAACAGCAACUGAGAAUGUUGAUAAAACUGUUCCAUUGAAGCCCUCUGAAGAUACUGUUUCAUUGCCUCAUGCAUCUGUAGAUUUGCAACCAUCUGGAUGUCCCGUGCUACUAACAGCAACUGAGAA
rnacentral:lncRNA from 1 species